rnacentral:rRNA from 1 species
GCAAUACGUUUGUAAAGCGGCGAACGGGUGAGGAAUACAUGGGUAACCUACCCUUGAGUGGGGAAUAACUAGCCGAAAGGUUAGCUAAUACCGCGUACGCUCCUUGGACUUCGGUUCAGGGAGGAAAGCGCUACCGUGGGUAGCGCGCUCUUGGAUGGGCUCAUGUCCUAUCAGCUUGUUGGUGAGGUAACGGCUCACCAAGGCUUCGACGGGUAGCUGGUCUGAGAGGACGAUCAGCCACACUGGCACUGCGACACGGGCCAGACUCCUACGGGAGGCAGCAGUAAGGAAUAUUGCGCAAUGGGCGAAAGCCUGACGCAGCGACGCCGCGUGGGGGAUGAAGGUCUUCGGAUUGUAAACCCCUUUCGGGAGGGAAGAUGGAAUGGGGUAACCCAUUUGGACGGUACCUCCAGAAGCAGCCACGGCUAACUUCGUGCCAGCAGCCGCGGUAAUACGAAGGUGGCAAGCGUUAUUCGGAUUUACUGGGCGUACAGGGAGCGUAGGCGGUUCGGUAAGCCCUCUGUGAAAUCUUCAGGCUUAACCUGGAAAAGUCGGAGGGGACUGCCGGGCUAGAGGACGGGAGAGGAGCGCGGAAUUCCCGGUGUAGCGGUGAAAUGCGUAGAGAUCGGGAGGAAGGCCGGUGGCGAAGGCGGCGCUCUGGAACGUUUCUGACGCUGAGGCUCGAAAGCGUGGGGAGCAAACAGGAUUAGAUACCCUGGUAGUCCACGC